CUGGCGGCAGGCUUAACACAUGCAAGUCGAGCGGUAACACUUCGGGUGACGAGCGGCGGACGGGUGAGUAAUACAUAGGAAUCUGCCUAGUAGUGGGGGAUAACGUAGGGAAACUUACGCUAAUACCGCAUACAUCCUACGGGGGAAAGCAGGGGGAUCGCAAGACCUUGCGCUGAUUGAGCGGCCGAUAUCAGAUUAGCUAGUUGGUGAGGUAAAGGCUCACCAAGGCGACGAUCUGUAGCGGGUCUGAGAGGAUGAUCCGCCACACUGGAACUGAGACACGGUCCAGACUCCUACGGGAGGCAGCAGUGGGGAAUUUUGGACAAUGGGCGCAAGCCUGAUCCAGCCAUGCCGCGUGAGUGAAGAAGGCCUUCGGGUUGUAAAGCUCUUUCAGCCGGGAAGAAAACGCAUGGGUUAAUACCCUGUGUGGAUGACGGUACCGGAAUAAGAAGCACCGGCUAACUACGUGCCAGCAGCCGCGGUAAUACGUAGGGUGCGAGCGUUAAUCGGAAUUACUGGGCG
rnacentral:rRNA from 1 species